GACAGAGGUCCCGAGCGUUAGGCGGAAUCACUGGGCUUAAAGCGUGUGUAGGCGGAUUGGUAAGUACCUUGUGAAAUCCCACGGCUUAACCGUGGAACUGCUUGGUAUACUGCUUAUCUUGGGCCACUUAGGGGCUACCGGAACAAACGGUGGAGCGGUGAAAUGCGUAGAUAUCGUUUGGAACGCCAAUGGUGAAAACAGGUAGCUGGGAGUGUGCCGACGCUGAGACACGAAAGCCAGGGGGAGCGAACGGG
rnacentral:rRNA from 1 species